rnacentral:lncRNA from 1 species
UCUACAAAAAGGAGCUUUUGAUGUUUGUUUGCUUCAAGAGACAAAGAAAACUUCAAUAGAUGAUUUUCUCAUUCAUAAUUUAUGGGGGCAUCAGGAUGUUGGAUGGGUGGCAAAAGAUCCAGUGGGUCUCUCAGGAGGAUUGUUAGUAAGUUUUGGGCAUUAGUGUUGAGAAAGAAGGUGAGGUGAUGCAUAUUGUUAAUGUUUAUUCUCCUUGUAGUGCUUCAGGUAAGAAAAAGCUUUGGGAAGAUUUGUUGGCACUCAAGCAACAAAACAGUGUAGGGGAGUGGUGUGUGGGAGGAGACUUUAACGCAAUUCUACACUCUUCGGAAAGAAAAUGAAGUAGUGCUGUCAUUAGACGAGGUGAAAAUUUGUUAUUUAAUCUCUUCGUAGAAGAGAUGGAGGUAGUAGAUGUCCCGGUGUUAGGCAAAAAAAUUUCUUGGUUUAGCGCCGAUGGAAAAUCUAUGAGUCGGAUAGAUAGAUUUUUAUUGUCCGACGGUUUAAUUGUCAAGCAUGGUAUUUCUGGACAGUGGAUAGGGGAUCGCGAUAUAUCUGACCAUUGUCCAGUUUGGUUGAUUGUUUCUCCUGUUAAUUGGGGUCCUAAGCCUUUCAGAGUGAUCAAUGGUUGGUUGGAGCAUCCAGAUUUUUUGUCGUUUGUGGAGACUUCUUGGAAGAGUUUCGCGAUACAUGGUAAGAAGGCUUAUGUGUUGAAAGAGAAAUUUAAGUUAUUGAAGGACUGCUUGAAAAAGUGGAAUAGGGAAGUUUUUGGUUUUCUUGACCUCAACAUUGAGAAGACGGUGAAAGAUUUAAACGAUAUCGAAAACAUGUUGGAUGGAGAUGUUAGGGAUGUAGAGUUAACAAGAAGAGAAGGGUUAAAUAAAGAUGAUUGUGUCUGAUCAGAAGAUGCGACCGCGCCGGCGUUGUGUGUAACACCCAAACCCAUUAUUGUAGUGAUUCUACGUUUAUUAAAUCUUUUUCAAAAUACGCAACGGAAAAAUUGAAAGUUAUUUAUAAACAUUGGUUCUAGGUAUUACACUCCUCUUUGCAAAAAUACUAAUGUAGUUAAUUAGUAAAAAUACUUGUUUAUACAAAUCUUAAAUCAAAUAAUGUAUUUAUUAACUAUACAAAACAACAUAGAUAAGGAGACUCUAUAUACAUAUAAAACCCCUUUUCCCGUGUCACAAUCAGAGCGGAGCUUCACCGACGACUCGACCUCGAUAACCACAAAACCUGUGAAUCUGGACCCCCAACGGUCCAGCACAUAACACAAAGCAUGAGAGUUAGAUCACAUAAUCAAAAUAUAAGUGUGAGUAAAACGGUACUUAAACACUCCUUCAUAAAACAUGCAUAAUNNNNNNNNNNNNNNNNNNNNNNNNNNNNNNNNNNNNUUAGCAAAAUAUGUGUCACAUAACAAUCAUCACAUAAAUGCAAACAUAUGUGUCACAUAUCAAAUAUCAAAUAAUGUACACAUAUCCUAAUGCAAUCUAAUGCCACAAUCUUCGAUGUUUGUUUCCCCUAGACAUAUCUAAUGCAUGUGGUAUCAUCGUCUUUAUUAUAGUAUCUCACCUCUAAUAUCCUUCUUUAUCGGAUAAAUAUAAUCUGAUAUCCUUCUUUAUUGGAAUAUCCAAUAUCCCUAAUAUAAUUCAUGAAUGCAUGUAUGUUUUCAUGAAUAUUCUGACAUCAACAAUCACAUUUAGCAUUAAGCUCGUCAUUUAUAAAUGUGGAACAAUAUCCAACAUUUCGUCUUUAUUAAGAUAACACUAUAUCUUAAUAUACGUCUUUAUCGAAUAACAUUGUUGGAUAUUUGAAUUGGCUUAAUUUUGCUAAAACAAAUAUACUAACAAGAUGUUGGAAAACAUGUUACAACAUCAUAUUUAUUCAAGGAAAUCUCGCGCAUUUAUGAGAGCAUCUGCUAUUUAUGGAAAUCCACUUAAAGAGCACGCUUAAUGGAGAUUUGAUCUGAUCAGGAAUUUUAAGGAUAAGAUAAGACUUAAUGGUACAACGGUAUGAUCAUACUUAUCCUAGAAAGUCCCUUGAACACUUUUGGAAAGUUUCUAUACAUUCUUGAUGAAGAUCAAAAAGAGAAUCAGAUCACCCUUUAUGGUUCUCAAGGAGCGUCUGAGCAUGGAGCGUGCUAUUAUGCUAUAUAUACGAAGACCAAGAUCAAGACUAAGUAUCUCAUUUUGAAAGUAUUAGUUACAUAUAUUGAGUCUUUGUUGAGUCUUUUAUUGUUUGAUUGUAAUUCUUGCUUGUGGAUUCUAUAACACGAGUUAAGAAGUGAGUUUAUUAUUUUAAGGUUACUCCUAAGCUUUGAAGUACGGAGUUUACCGUGUGUGAUUCACUUGAAGCUUUUAAGCAAAAGUGAAGUGUUGUCUUGGUAAGUUGUCGCCACAUCAUUUCUAACAUUGUUUAAACAACACAGGUUGUGUUGUGUGAGUGGAAGUGAGAUGGGAUCUCAUGUCUAGGAGUUCCUAGGCAGAAGUUGCAUGAGUAGUGUCGAGNNNNNNNNNNNNNNNNNAAUUACUUGUGUCAUUUAUUUAUUUUCUGUCAGUUUUUAUAUGUUAUAUAAGAUGUGCCAACAACAGAAACAACGUUAAUCAUAAAGUAGUGUUGGGACAUCUUAGGCAACAUCAUUCUAGUGAUACCAGAAUUUCAAACAUAAUUCGAUAUCCUUCUUUAUUAGAAUAACAUAAUCCUAAUAUCCUUCUUUAUUAACUUGAUUAACACCUUAACAUACUUCUUUGAUAUUUAAACAAACAUCAUUAACACAAUCAAAAACAAUCAUAUUCCACAAAUAUAAUCAACAAUUCAUCACAAUACAAUUAAUCAUGGUUAUAAACACCUAAUUGCAUGUUANNNNNNNNNNNNNNNNCCUUAAAUCCAUGUUACAAGUGCCUAAUUGCACUUUAAAACAUCAACAAAAUAUGUUCUGCACAGUACUGGUCGCUUAGCGACGGCCUAGCGAGGGAUGGCGAACAAAGUCAGUACAUGGACAUUGGACAGCUUCUGGCGAGCGACAGCGAGCUGGUUGCUUAGCGAGGGCCUCUGGUCGCUCAGCGAGGGUCUCAGGAUAGCAGCAGUCGCCACCUGUUCGCUAAGCGAAGGCUUAGCGACGGCCUUCUGACAGCAAAGUUCAAACUUCGUGUUUUUCACACCAAAUCACCCAAAAAUCCCAUUUUUCAUGUUAUAAAUCCCAAAUAAGUUUAUUUUCAUGUACAUAACAUAUAUAUAAACAUAAAAGGACGGAUUGAUUAUCAUAUCUACAUCAAAUACAUCGAAAAAGUAAAGAUUGAACACUUUUUCAUCAAAACUCUCAAGAACACAAAGUUCUUGAGUUUAAUCUUUCAUAAACUUCUUUUUUAACCAUUAAAUUCGUUCAUUCAUCAUGUUAAAAGCAUGUUAAGCAUGUUAUGAACCUUAGAAUCGAUUUCUACCAAGAAAAUCCAUUCGAAACUAAAACGAAAAUGGGGUGGAGGAAGUUCGGGUGAGGAGAAAUCGACAUUCUCCCCUUCCUCGAGUCACCCACGAUUAUGAAACCUACUCUCAUACCUUAAUCCGACGAAAGAUCGACGAUUUGCUCUUGACCUCUCUUGCUCAAGCUUGCCCUAGCUCCAUCUUGCUCUCCCUUCUCUCUAGCUCUACCAAGAACAAAGAGAAAUGAGACUUUCUCUCUCUAAUGGGCUAUAUAAACCGUCCCCUUCUCAUGAGACAAGGCCCAUUGGGCCUCAAGCCCACUAACUUGGGCCAACACGCGUAAACUCUCACUAACUCGCGCGUUAAUUAAAUUUCUCGAUAAAUAACUAUUCGCUACUAAAUUAAUUAAAAGUUAUCGCAACAAUUAAUUAAACACAUAAAAGCGAAUAUUAAAAAUCGGGUCGUUACAUUGUGCUCUUGAUUACCCUUGUUGAAGCGGAAGGGGGUUGUGUACCUACAGGUGCUCCGACGCUCAAGUCAGUGAGAGUGAAGCAAAGGUUUUCUGUGCAAAUGAAUACGUACCUUGUGAAUGGAAUGGGAUCACGUAUAUAUAGGCCCUAGCGCAGGGCCAAGGUCCCUGAUGGCAUAAAUGGCCAUCAAGUGCCUGCCGGAAAACGGCUGGAGAGCCUUGAUGAGCAGUUAAUGCUCAUCAUUCCGGUGGACUUUGACGUUACGUAAGUGCCGGGAAUAUGACCGUUGGGAUGUCGACCAUUCAUUCUGUGCUCGCGUAUUGUUGGCCAUCCCGGCCUAUCUAAGCUCGCAGAGUCAGGUCCCCGAGGUCUAAGCUCGGUCCAGAACAAAAGAUUUUUGGAAACAAUUUCAUCUAAAAGAGAGUCUUUUAAAACAAAAAUCUAGAUUACGGUGGGUAAGAGAGGGUGACUCAAAUUCUAGAUUUUUUCAUGAAUCUAUCAAAAGUAGACGAAGGAAGAACCAAUUGGUGGCCUUAAAAGAUGGUGAUCAAUGGGUUGAGGGAGUGGAGGAGGUGAAGGGUUGUGUAAAGAAUUUUUAUGCGGAUUACUUCCAAGAGAAAUGGCUAAACCGACCAAAUCUUAAUGGUUUACAGUUUCAAACUCUUUCCGAUGAAGACAAUCUUCUUCUAAUGGCACCUUUUUCAAGCGAAGAAGUUAAAGAGGCGAUUUGGAGUAGUGACGGUAACAAAUGUCCAG